ACAAGCCAUGCAUGCCCGCACACCCGGGAGGCGGCGGACGGCUCAGGACAACGGUUGCACCCCCCGCGGCGGUCCCUGCUAGCCGGACACCGCUGGCAACCCGGCGCCAAGACGUGCGCGCAAGUGCGGACGCCCGCGGG
rnacentral:rRNA from 1 species